AGAUCACAUGACCAGCUGAAUGCCAUUUGCUUCCAUUAUUGGACUCAGGAGGGAAGUAUGUGAUUUCGGAAGAAUUUUUUCAGUUAUAACCAACGAUCAUGGCUGACUUUUUUCUUGGUUGGACCCAGGCCUCUAGGUGUCACUAUAAGCCCAAGACGAUAACAUAACGCAAAGAAGAAAGCUGACUCUAACCGCCCCCUUCUCCCUCUCUGAUCGUCCUGUGCUGGAGGUUGUCAGCCGAGUUUUAUGUCCAGUUCGCUGGAGCUGAAAGAAGUCAGCAUCGUGUCUUGUUAUGAAACAAGACGUCCUUGCCUCCUGUUCCGGGUGAAUGAUGCCUGGGGUGACUUGCGUGAAGCGAUGGCCUCGCCGUGGCGCUCCACAGAGGCGACCAACAGUGAGGAAGUCAAUGCGCCAUUGUGUAUCGAGUUCGUCUGCUACAUGUUUGGUAAUUAUCCCGACUGUUUGUUGGAGACUUGGAUCUGCGAGCCAAGCGGGCCGACAGUGGAGCACAACACUGUCAACAAAGAUUAACUUCAUGAAUGGUCAACAUGUCUAGUUGAGGGAGACAAGCUCAAAACAUCAUUGAUUAGUGCUACCAAUCAGUUCAAAUGUGUAUGUUUUUAUAGUAAAACAAUUGACACAAUCCACAAUUUGUUUUUCACAGGGUGAAUAAAAACAUCAUACAGGACUUGUGCUUUUUGAGAAAACACAUAUUGCUCUAUUAGAAUAAGUUUAAUAAAAUCCACCAGCAUAUAUGAAGUAAAUUUUUUUGUGAAGGUCUAGC